ACCGUGUUUAAGCGUACAGGCUUGGGGCAGAGUGGCUGGAAAGCUGUGCAGAGGAAAGGGAUCUGGGGGUGUUGGUCGAUGCUCGCCUGAACGUGAGCCGGCAGUGUGCCCAGGUGGCCAAGAAGGCCAACGGCUUCCUGGCCUGUGUCAGGAACAGUGCAGCCAGCAGGACCGGGGAGGUGGUCGUCCCCCUGUACUCUGCUCUGGUGAGGCCUCACCUCGAGUGCUGUGUUCAGCUUUGGGCCCCUCGCUGCAAGAAGGACAUCGAGGCCCUGGAGCGUGUCCAGAGAAGGGCUACGAAGCUGCUGAAGGGCCUGGGACACAAGUCCUCCCACCAUCACAAGCCUGCUCACUGGGCGCUUCGCUGCAAAGCUGAGCUGGGGACACGUCCAACGGCGGUGCAGCCCUCCAGGAAGGUAAUGCAGAAGGGCCUGACCCUGGAGCCCUGCUGGGAGCACGCUCCCAUGUGGGGCAGAUGAUGGAAAAUAUCAACUUUACCUGCAUGGGGAUGAUCUGCAGAAAGAGUCCAGCAAAGAGGGAGAGGGACCAGAGUGCAUCCUUCCUCAGCUGCCACAUCUGCUGGCCUGGGCAGACCACGUGCCCAAAGGGCUCGUCCUUGCCACGGUUUUCACUGUGACAUUUGGGAGCAUUAUUGGUUGCCUGCUUCCCCACCUCUCCACUCCCCGUCAUUUAUUCAGCCUCAAGAAACAGGAGAGUUUGCACUUAGUCAAAUACUGCUCUCAUCCCCCUUUCCUAACUGGUGUCCACUUGCAGUGCUUCUGGAGGGACUGGAGAGGAGACACUUCUUUGAGGAAAGUACUCAUGCCCAGAACUUUCUGAGCAACAUCAUGGAAACACAAUUUUGCUGGAUAACCUGUUAAAUUACAACAACUGUGCAAAGGAUCACAGCACCAACAGAACAUACGCCUGCACCAUAAGGGGUUGCAGAUCAGAAACAACCACCACAGAAGCCUUAAUUUAUCACAUCCUGUCUUCCACGGGCUCAAGCUUCACCCCCUAUGUUUUGGCAGGUCGCAGCGCAGCACAGAAGUGUCACGCACCCUCUCAUCAGGAGGCAGGCCGUGCAAAGGCUGGGGAGCUGUGGUCCAUUUAUACCACACACCCUUUAAUCACACUGCCAGCCUGACCGAACCUGGUCAUCCCCACAGACAAGUCCCCACUCUGGGGGGUCCCAUGUCCCCCUUCCCAGACAGCGGGGACCUCACAAGACCUCACUUCACCUCUGAAGUAUUAAAAAGACCUGAAUCUAGAAGGAGACCCUUCAUUCAGACUGUUUUUGAGAGCCUUGUUUGUCCGCAGCAGGCUCUGGGAGAAAAGCAGCCAGUCAGCCUCUGAAUGAACUGUCUGAAACGAGACUAAGCACUGCCAGGCACAUGCAGCUAUAGUCGGGCAGACAGCAUCGGACAAAGCUGAAUUGCAUCCACUACAAGGAGAAAAUUGAAAUGGAAAUGAGUCGUCUUACUUCAGCUCUGUCUUUUGUUGUGCCCUGCAGGCAGCGUGCACCUGUGACCGUGUGUCCUCCAAAGUCAACGUACACGUGUCCCAAGUGACAGAAGGCACCACUGAGGAUAUCGAGGUUGGAGAGGCAGUCAGCGUGGUGGUGCACAAACCGGAGCAGACAUUUAAGGGGAUGAGAACUGCCGACAGUCUCUACAAGCUAUCUUUUAUUUAUGCCCGCACUGCGCUGUCUUGGCAGCGUUUGGUUUAGUCCUGGGAUGAAAACCCUGCCUUCUUGUAAACACAGGCAGCCUCACACAUGCCUCUGACACUAAAUAAGUAAAACACACCAUGCACGGAAACACACUUUUAGGAAAACUUCCCCUCGGCACCAGCAUAAUCAGGAGGUACGGAAGAGAUAUCUUGAUCUCUCAAGAGAGAAAGAAUCAAAAUCUUUCUAAAGGAACUGGAUGGAAGUAGGUCCCGGUCAAAAACCUAAGGAGCAAACACCAAACAUGCAGCUUGGCCGAUGGCUCAGCAUCAGGUUAACCUCGAGUCAAUGAGUUAUGAAGUUUUCAGCUCAUACUGAACUUUGUGCAUGGCCUUUGGCGGGUUCUGGUGGAGGACUGUCCCCCUCAGCCGCCCUGCGACACAGCACCAGCAGUCCUCACAGCACCUGCCCUUCGUCCUCACACCUUUCCCUUCCUCACACCCAUGGGACUACCCGCAAGGUGGCUUUGUGGAGGCCCUGCCACCAUCCAUCGUCACCAACCAGUGUGACAGACCAGAUACUGUGGUCCCUAGACAUGGCCUGAGGAGAGGACUGCCCGUCCCUUCUGCUGCAGGCAUUUGCUGUCCUCCACCUCAUCUGUCUGGCUAAGCAAGGAGGACAUGGAGAAGAAGGGGAACCCUCCGGCUCCCCAGAAUGCCAAUUUACGAAUUCAGAAAGAUAGUUUCUUUAUCUCCAGGGCUUCCCGGAGGUGAUGGGAUUUCUACUCCAAUCUGCUUCCUCAAAGACCUUGCGCUGGCCUGUUGAAAUUUACGCUCAGUACAAGGAGGAUCUCGAUCAAAACGCAGCCUGCCUCUUCCUCCCCAGGGACCUGCUGGAGGAGCACUGCACUUAGAAAAGCAAGUGGAGGUGCCGGGGGACCGGAGGGACUGCGGGCUGAUGGCACUGCUCUCGGUCUCCAUGGAAAUGUGCCUUGAUGUAAUUAAUGAUAAAGAACCGGGAUGAGAAUAAAAAUGAUUCAGAGAGGCUGUGGUACUUCUCCUCUGCAUAGCUCCCCCGAUUAAACCCACAUAGAGCCCAGAAUGGGAAGCCGAGGCUCAAUUAUAGCCGAGGAACAGCAUAACGAAUUACCUCCUUUGCACUUGCUUAUGUGGGUGAGUAAUCCAAUUCCUACCCAAACGUACACUGGCUGUGGAGAUUUUGCCAGUAUAUGAAUCAUCGAG